rnacentral:rRNA from 1 species
AUUGAACGCUGGCGGCAGGCCUAACACAUGCAAGUCGAGCGGUAGAGGGGUGCUUGCAUCUCUUGAGAGCGGCGGACGGGUGAGUAAUGCCUAGGAAUCUGCCUAGUGGUGGGGGAUAACGCUCGGAAACGGACGCUAAUAACGCAUACGUCCUACGGGAGAAAGCGGGGGAUCUUCGGACCUCGCGCCAUUAGAUGAGCCUAGGUCGGAUUAGCUAGUUGGUGAGGUAAUGGCUCACCAAGGCGACGAUCCGUAACUGGUCUGAGAGGAUGAUCAGUCACACUGGAACUGAGACACGGUCCAGACUCCUGCGGGAGGCAGCAGUGGGGAAUAUUGGACAAUGGGCGAAAGCCUGAUCCAGCCAUGCCGCGUGUGUGAAGAAGGUCUUCGGAUUGUAAAGCACUUUAAGUUGGGAGGAAGGGUCGUAACCUAAUACGUUACGGCUUUGACGUUACCGACAGAAUAAGCACCGGCUAACUUCGUGCCAGCAGCCGCCAUAACAC